ACGGAGGAUGCGAGCGUUAUCCGGAUUUAUUGGGUUUAAAGGGAGCGCAGGCGGACUCUUAAGUCAGUUGUGAAAUACGGCGGCUCAACCGUCGGACUGCAGUUGAUACUGGGAGUCUUGAGUGCACACAGGGAUGCUGGAAUUCAUGGUGUAGCGGUGAAAUGCUCAGAUAUCAUGAAGAACUCCGAUCGCGAAGGCAGGUAUCCGGGGUGCAACUGACGCUGAGGCUCGAAAGUGCGGGUAUCAAACAGGAUUAGAUACCCUGGUAGUCCGCACAGUAAACGAUGAAUACUCGCGGUUGGCGAUAUACUGUCAGCCGCCAAGCGAAAGCGUUAAGUAUUCCACCUGGGGAGUACGCCGGCAACGGUG
rnacentral:rRNA from 1 species